CUGAGGGGGAGUGAGGAUGAUUGU
rnacentral:misc_RNA from 1 species